rnacentral:misc_RNA from 1 species
ACCAGUUUAAUGACACUAACCUCUACCCUUACCCCUAAAGUUUCUUAGAAAAAAAAAAAGAAAAAAAACUAAACAGCGUAAUGGGAAAAAUAUAUAUAUAUAUUGCAGGUAAAUACUUGAAUAUUUUUUUAAUCAAAUGAUUCCAUCUCAGUUCCGGUUGCUCGUGUUUUCUGAAUAAUUUUCCGAGAACUCAGUAAAAAAGGGGGAAAAAAAAAA